rnacentral:rRNA from 1 species
UACGUAGGGUGCGAGCGUUAAUCGGAAUUACUGGGCGUAAAGCGUGCGCAGGCUGUUUUGUAAGUCAGAUGUGAAAUCCCUGGGCUCAACCUAGGAACUGCGUUUGAAACUACAAGGCUAGAGUGUAGCAGAGGGGGGGGUAGAAUUCCACUGUAGCAGUGAAAUGCGUAGAUAUGACGGAGGAACACCGAUGGCGAAGGCAGCCCCCCUGGGCUAACACUGACGUCAGGCACGAAAGCGUGGGGAGCAAACAGG